AAGCUUGUAGUUUAAUGGUAAAAAUUCAUUGCUCAUAACGAUUGAGAUAAGGGUUCAAAUCCCUUCGGGCUUA
rnacentral:tRNA from 1 species